rnacentral:rRNA from 1 species
UACGUAGGGUGCAAGCGUUAAUCGGAAUUACUGGGCGUAAAGCGUGCGCAGGCGGUGAUGUAAGACAGAUGUGAAAUCCCCGGGCUCAACCUGGGAACUGCAUUUGUGACUGCAUCGCUGGAGUACGGCAGAGGGGGAUGGAAUUCCGCGUGUAGCAGUGAAAUGCGUAGAUAUGCGGAGGAACACCGAUGGCGAAGGCAAUCCCCUGGGCCUGUACUGACGCUCAUGCACGAAAGCGUGAGGAGCAAACAGG